UACGUAGGGUGCAAGCGUUGUCCGGAAUUAUUGGGCGUAAAGAGCUCGUAGGCGGUUUGUCGCGUCUGCUGUGAAAUCCCGAGGCUCAACCUCGGGUCUGCAGUGGGUACGGGCAGACUAGAGUGUGGUAGGGGAGACUGGAAUUCCUGGUGUAGCGGUGAAAUGCGCAGAUAUCAGGAGGAACACCGGUGGCGAAGGCGGGUCUCUGGGCCGAUACUGACGCUGGAGGAGCGAAAGCCGUGGGGAGCGAACAGG
rnacentral:rRNA from 1 species